rnacentral:rRNA from 1 species
UAGGGAAUCUUCCGCAAUGGACGAAAGUCUGACGGAGCGACGCCGCGUGAGCGAAGAAGGUCUUCGGAUCGUAAAGCUCUGUUGUUAGGGAAGAAGAAGUGCCGUUCGAACAGGGCGGCACGGUGACGGUACCUAACGAGAAAGCCCCGGCUAACUACGUGCCAGCAGCCGCGGUAAUACAUAGGGGGCGAGCGUUGUCCGGAAUUAUUGGGCGUAAAGCGAGCGCAGGCGGUCCCUUAAGUCUGAUGUGAAAGCCCACGGCUUAACCGUGGAGGGUCAUUGGAAACUGGGGGACUUGAGUGCAGAAGAGGAGAGCGGAAUUCCACGUGUAGCGGUGAAAUGCGUAGAGAUGUGGAGGAACACCAGUGGCGAAGGCGGCUCUCUGGUCUGUAACUGACGCUGAGGCGCGAAAGCGUGGGGAGCAAACAGG